rnacentral:lncRNA from 10 species
UCUGCAUUCCUUUAGAGGCACGGAAGCGCAUCCGUGGAAAUCCAUCCCUUCCGACUUCCUUACACCUAUACAAAAGCCUGCAUUUGAUGCCCAGGACUCCAGAUCAGUACAUUCUGUGACAACUAAGGCACAGUGGAACAAGAAGGGCCCAACCACAUAAAGCUCCAGGAGAGUAGGAAUUAGUCUUGCUCUCAAGGACAUUCCUGGCACCCAGCAGAAUACCUA